rnacentral:pre_miRNA from 1 species
UACCCUGCCCGUGUGUGCCAUACUCUGCCUGCCAUACCCUGCCUGUGUGUGCCAUACUCAGAGUAUGGCACACACAGGCAGGGUAUGGCAGUCAGAGUAUGGCACACACA